rnacentral:lncRNA from 1 species
GGCGACCGGUUUUUUCUUACGCCGGCGCCGGAAAAGCCACUGUGGCAGCCGGAAUCGACGAGCUGGCAGCCGGAAUUGACACCUAAACAUAUAUUUUACAUGUGGCAAAAAAAUAAAAAUAAAAAAUACAAAUAAAUUCCAAAUCAUCAUCAUCUUCCUCAAACCCUUAUCCCCCUCCCCCAACCCGGCGGCCCCGCCGCCGCCUCACCCUGCCAACACCACCGGCGCCGCUCCUUCGCCGCCUCACCCUGCCAACACUACCAGCGCUGCCCCCUUCCCUCCCCCAAUCCACCGCAGCCUCCCCCCUGCCACCACCACCACCACCAUUCGCAGAAUUCCACCACCAUCAAAUCAAUCCAACAACCACCACAAUCCCAUCCUCCUUCACCUCCACCAAGAUCCUCAACAACCAACCGCCGCUUCCAAAUUCGAACAGAGAUGACCUCGCCGAAGGUCAAACCAGCACGACCUUCCGCCGGCCCUCC